ACCAGACUCCUACGGGAGGCAGCAGUGGGGGAUAUUGCACAAUGGGGGGAACCCUGAUGCAGCGACGCCGCGUGGGUGAAGAAGCGCCUCGGCGCGUAAAGCCCUGUCAGCAGGGAAGAAAAUGACGGUACCUGAAGAAGAAGCCCCGGCUAACUACGUGCCAGCAGCCGCGGUAAUACGUAGGGGGCAAGCGUUAUCCGGAUUUACUGGGUGUAAAGGGGGCGCAGACGGCGAUGCAAGCCAGGAGUGAAAGCCCGGGGCCCAACCCCGGGACUGCUCUUGGAACUGCGUGGCUGGAGUGCAGGAGGGGCAGGCGGAAUUCCUGGUGUAGCGGUGAAAUGCGUAGAUAUCAGGAGGAACACCGGUGGCGAAGGCGGCCUGCUGGACUGCAACUGCCGUUGAGGCCCGAAAGCGUGGGGAGCAAACAGGAUUAGAUACCCCAGUAUA
rnacentral:rRNA from 1 species